rnacentral:rRNA from 1 species
AGAGUUUGAUCCUGGCUCAGAACGAACGCUGGCGGCGUGGAUAAGACAUGCAAGUCGGACGAGGAAUUACAUGAAGCUUGCUUUACGUAAUUUCUAGUGGCGAACGGGUGAGUAACACGUGAGCAACCUACCCAGAAGCAGGGGAUAGCCCACCGAAAGGUGGAUUAAUACCGUAUGCGAUCCCGCGGAGCAUUCCGCGGUGAUUAAAGGCGGGGAUCCUUCGGGACCUGCCACUUCUGGAUGGGCUCGCGGCCUAUCAGCUAGUUGGUGAGGUAAAAGCUCACCAAGGCGACGACGGGUAGCUGGUCUGAGAGGAUGAUCAGUCACACUGGAACUGAGACACGGUCCAGACACCUACGGGUGGCAGCAGUCGAGAAUCAUUCACAAUGGGCGAAAGCCUGAUGGUGCGACGCCGCGUGGAGGAUGACAGCUCUAGGGUUGUAAACUCCUGUCAUGAGAGAGUAAAGGCUUGCCGUUAAUAGCGGUCGGGUCCUGAUAGUAUCUCAAGAGGAAGGGACGGCUAACUUCGUGCCAGCAGCCGCGGUAAUACGAAGGUCCCAAGCGUUGUUCGGAAUCACUGGGCGUAAAGCGUGCGUAGGCGGCUUGGUAAGUCAGAUGUGAAAGCCCAGGGCUCAACCUUGGAACUGCAUCCGAUACUGCCAGGCUAGAGUAGUGGAGGGGAGUCUGGAAUUCACGGUG